rnacentral:rRNA from 1 species
UUGCAUAUCAAUAAGCGGAGGAAAAGAAACCAACAGGGAUUGCCUUAGUAGCGGCGAGUGAAGCGGCAAAAGCUCAAAUUUGAAAUCUGGCUCUUUCAGAGUCCGAGUUGUAAUUUGAAGAAGGUAUCUUUGGGUCUGGCUCUUGUCUAUGUUUCUUGGAACAGAACGUCACAGAGGGUGAGAAUCCCGUGCGAUGAGAUGAUCCAGGCCUAUGUAAAGUUCCUUCGAAGAGUCGAGUUGUUUGGGAAUGCAGCUCUAAGUGGGUGGUAAAUUCCAUCUAAAGCUAAAUAUUGGCGAGAGACCGAUAGCGAACAAGUACAGUGAUGGAAAGAUGAAAAGAACUUUGAAAAGAGAGUGAAAAAGUACGUGAAAUUGUUGAAAGGGAAGGGCUUGAGAUCAGACUUGGUAUUUUGUAUGUUACUUCUUCGGGGGUGGCCUCUACAGUUUAUCGGGCCAGCAUCAGUUUGGGCGGUAGGAGAAUUGCGUUGGAAUGUGGCACGGCUUCGGUUGUGUGUUAUAGCCUUCGUCGAUACUGCCAGCCUAGACUGAGGACUGCGGUUUAUACCUAGGAUGUUGGCAUAAUGAUCUUAAGUCGCCCGUCUUGAAACACGGACCAAAA